GACAGAGGGUGCAAACGUUGCUCGGAAUCACUGGGCGUAAAGGGCGUGUAGGCGGGAGAGAAAGUCGGGCGUGAAAUCCCUAGGCUCAACCUAGGAACUGCACUCGAAACUUCUUUUUCUUGAGUGCCGGAGAGGAAAGCGGAAUACCUGGUGAGAGGUGAAAAUUCGUAGAUAUCAGGAGGAACACCAAUGGCGAAAGGCAGCUCGCUGGGGACGUAAACUGACGCUGAGACGCGAAAAGCGUGGGGGAGCAAACAGGG
rnacentral:rRNA from 1 species